UACAGAGGGUGCAAGCGUUAAUCGGAUUUACUGGGCGUAAAGCGUGUGUAGGUGGUCAAGCAAGUCGGUUGUGAAAUCCCUGGGCUCAACCCGGGAACUGCUUCCGAUACUUCAUGACUCGAAUUCGGUAGAGGGAGGCGGAACUCCAGGUGUAGCGGUGAAAUGCGUAGAUAUCUGGAAGAACACCAAUGGCGAAGGCAACCUCCUGGGCCUGAAUUGACACUGAGACACGAAAGCGUGGGGAUCAAACAGG
rnacentral:rRNA from 1 species